AGCGAACGCUGGCGGCAGGCCUAACACAUGCAAGUCGAACGAACCUUUCGGGGUUAGUGGCGGACGGGUGAGUAACACGUGGGAACGUGCCUUUAGGUUCGGAAUAACUCAGGGAAACUUGUGCUAAUACCGAAUGUGCCCUUCGGGGGAAAGAUUAAUCGCCUUUAGAGCGGCCCGCGUCUGAUUAGCUAGUUGGUCGAGGUAAUGGCUCACCAAGGCGACGAUCAGUAGCUGGUCUGAGAGGAUGAUCAGCCACAUUGGGACUGAGACACGGCCCAAACUCCUACGGGAGGCAGCAGUGGGGAAUCUUGCGCAAUGGGCGAAAGCCUGACGCAGCCAUGCCGCGUGAAUGAUGAAGGUCUUAGGAUUGUAAAAUUCUUUCACCGGGGACGAUAAUGACGGUACCCGGAGAAGAAGCCCCGGCUAACUUCGUG
rnacentral:rRNA from 1 species